rnacentral:lncRNA from 1 species
AUUAUCUUAUAAUUCUACAGGCCAGAAGUUUGAUGUGGGUCUGACUGGGCUAAAAUCAAGGUGUGGUCAGGGCUGCGUUACUUCUGGAGGUUCUAGGACAGGGGUCCUCAACCCCCAGGGCCACGGACUGGUACUGCACAGCAGCAGGUAGAAGAUGAAUAAGAAGAGGGACCCUCUUCCAGGAAGAUAAAUGCCGAAAAAGCUACCUUUUCUCCAUCUGGGGACGGAUGAUACCAAAAUGAUGCCCCCUUCCAAUCAGAUUAUUACAUAAGGAAGUUCUAGCUGCACAUGCAAAAUCAGCUGAGCCAUGUUGGCAAUCCGGAUUCCACCCAGAUGCCACAGGUUUCAGGAGUGGAGUCUGCCACUUAUUCAUUCUAACUUGACGUGCCAGUCAUCAGCAGACUUGAGCACUCUCAGGCAAAUAACAGCAAGAGAGAGAAAUCUGAAAUCUGAGGUGCAGUUGAUUUGAAUCCAGGAAAUCUAAGGAAAAAGUUCAAGCUCUUAAUCAUUUCAUACUCUCCUUGUUGCUAACUUAAACUUUUUUUUUAAAAAAGUUAAUCUUGUCUAUGAAGCAUGAAUCUAUAAUACUAGGGAAAAAACUGGCUAACUUGAAGAAAAAAUAAAUUGAAAUGAAAAGCAAUUAAUUCCUCUUAAUAUGAAUAAAGGAUGAUC